UUUUUCUUGCAUUUGCACACUUAUUGCGUUAUUUCACUCUCCGCCGUUGUUUAGUUGUAUUUGGAGGGCGGGACUGAAACUGAGAUGAACUAGGCGCGGUCAGGAACCCCCUUCACACGUGCAGACAAAGGGACCAAACAACACAACCAAAAUACUCACGGGCAAACUUUUUCAGCCGUGCCCACGCUUCGUGGGCAUUUAUGUUUAUGCACAUCGGCAGUAACUUACUGUAAGAAAGAUCUUUUUCUGCUUUUUGGCUCAGAUCGUGGAUUUGUUUUUAACGCAAAAGUUGCGCAGAGUUGGUGCGUCAGCUCGCAAAGUUAAGCACAAAGCGGGGAAGAGCGCUCCUUUGUUUCGCCGAGCGCUUUGAAGGGAGAUCAUGGAUGGACAACUGCCUUCUUGGUUCCCCUAAACCUCUGCAGAAUCUACGAAGAUGCAACGAAUGAACUUGGGAAAACCUGUAUUUACCCGGACACUCGGCCUUGGGAAACUUAACGCACCAGCGCGAAGGCUUUGUUUUGUGGAUUUGUGAAGAUCUUUAAGUUUAUAAAAGCGCCUGUUGUGGAGUUUUAAAUGAACAUUUUGCUAUAGGCCUGUCUGUUGACGAACUUAUUAUUGGAAUCAUGAACAGGAAUAGACCCUAAUAAAAGGAUUACAAAUCAGUCGAGAUUGAUUUUGGGAUUUGGAUGAUAAACCCCGACGAAAACACAAAAGCAUGAGUGUGUUGGUGAGGGUGGGGAAGACAGAAGACACGUGGAGCGAGGGCCUCCACCAUCGUGCCAGGAGAAGGGGGGACAACUCACAAUGGAGCAGCAGGAGCUGUGGGCGGAGCUCCUGGCUGCUAGCUCACAGACACCCAGCAUGGGAGGAGUGAGUCGGAUCAGCCCUGAAAGCCCCCUGCUGCCUUGCCCCGGGGACCCCGCUGGACAAUAGGCGGCUGAAAGCGAGAAUCCAGCCAGGUCGGACUUUUAGUGGCUCUAUUAAUAUUUUAGUAGCCCUGGGCCAUUAAGCCUUGGCGAACUCUGACCCCCUGCCUUGUUCUCUACACUGACCUUUGACCUCUGAGCCGGAUAACAGCCUCCAUAUGCUUAAAAGCGGGGUGGGGGGGGGGGGCAGGUGUUUGUCCCUGAGCAGAUAUCCCUUUUCAUGUGGAUUUGUCAAAAGUCACAGGACAGCCAGGGAUCGUCACGGAUACUGAUGACCGGGACGCCUCCUCUACAGAGGCCUUCAGCAGCCAGCCCUCUAAUCCGAGCGCGACGCUACAAAUGAGCAGCACUGCUGAGAUCUGCUUUAAAAACAAAAGAAUGGUACGUGUCACGCGGCAACACGUAUCUCACGGGCCACUCCGCCCCCGCCAAGCCGGCCGUCAUCUUUACAUGCUGCCAAAGCAGGAGAGCUGGUGCUAGACGCCCGACGGGGACAACAGGAUGCACCGGGCAUUAAACAAAACCCCCCCGCGGGCUUCAGGCCCAUAGCACAGAGCCAGUCGAGGCCUCCAGCAAUGAGGCGUCCAGCAAAAUGCCUGUCUGAGCAAUUAGUAAGCGUUCGACCCAUUUUCCAUGCACGGAAAUCUAUGAAGUGGACCCCUGCCCCCCCCCCCCCCCCCCCCAGGUGCUCCAUUUAAAAUUGUUUUGCUUGUUUAAUCGAAACAACUCAUCCCUUAAUGCUGUAUGUAAGGCCGUUUUUUAGAUGCAUUUACUGUUUCGAUUUACUUUAUAGUGUCUACAGCACUGCAAACUGUUUUUAAAACUACUGUUUACUAUAAAAUUUUGCUAAAAAAAAAGAUAUCACAGUACAUUUGUAUGGAAAUAGACAUUGAUUCAGUUUAUCAUUACCUUGAUAAUGUCAACUUCCGGUUGUAUUAACAGAAUAAAAAAUUUGAGGCACUUUGGUAACGGUCCCCUGUUGCUGAAGUGGAAGUGCCAUGAUGACAUCAUUCCGGUCCAAGUGACCAACCCAAAGAAGCGUAUAGAUAAGCAUGAAUUCAUCGAGGACUGAAGUCAGUCAGGAAAUUAGUGUUCCAGAGCUGGAAAAAGAAAGUGCAGUGCUGCAAGAAUCGGAAGAAGACAUCAAGUUACCUUCAAAAGGAAUGGGAAUCAUUAAGUGCAGGUGUGAAGUGCACUGCUAGGACAAAUUCGUAACAGGCUCCUAGAAGCAGGACUGAAGUCCCAUAAAGCAAGGAAGAAGCCCUUCAUUAAUGAGAAGCAGGGAAGGACCUGGUUGAAGUUCAUAAAAAAAUGUAUAUUUCACA